rnacentral:rRNA from 1 species
CACGGAGUUAGCCGGGGCUUCUUCUGCUGGUACAGUCAUUAUCUUCCCAGCUGAAAGAUCUUUACAACCCUAAGGCCUUCAUCGAUCACGCGGCAUGGCUAGAUCAGGGUUUCCCCCAUUGUCUAAGAUUCCCCACUGCUGCCUCCCGUAGGAGUCUGGGCCGUGUCUCAGUCCCAGUGUGGCUGAUCAUCCUCUCAAACCAGCUAUGGAUCGUCGGCUUGGUAGGCCAUUACCCCACCAACUACCUAAUCCAACGCGGGCCGAUCCUUUGGCGAUAAAUCUUUCCUCCGAAGAGCUCAUCCGGUAUUACUCCCAGUUUCCCGGGGCUAUUCCGAACCAAAGGGCACGUUCCCACGCGUUACUCACCCGUCCGCCACUAGUCCCGAAGGACCCGUUCGACUUGCAUGUGUUAGGCCUGCCGCCAGCGUUCGUUCUGAGCCAGGAUCAAACUC